rnacentral:lncRNA from 1 species
CUUAAAGCAUUGCAGGAGGGAAGCCUCGUGCAGAAUGGCUGCCUUACAAGGGCUGCAGGAUGCGAGUUAACCAUCGCAGCCUUUUAUCUCCAAAUCUGCAAAAUCCAGCCACUGUGUUAACCCAGGUGGCCGGUGGAGCUCUUUAGUCGGUUGCUGAGGAGUGUUUGUGCAUGCGGUGGCGGAGCUCUUUCCCUCUGAAGACCAAUUUGCACGAGCCCCAGUGACUGCAGCGAGCCUCUGAGCCCCAAACCUCAGGGCUGCAGCUCAGCAUCCCAACCAAAGUGCUGCAGGAGCUGUGCAGGAGGAGGGCUGCGUUCUCCGUAGCACCGCUGAAAUCCGCCACGGGUGCACGUUUGAAUUUUAAAGAGCUUCGCUUUCCAGGGCUGCUGGCCAUCAGUGAGGACCUGCUGCAUCAAACCCUUCUGUCCAAACAGGAUCCAUGGUUUUAAACACGCCAUUUAGCUCCGUUGUUCAAAUGGAAAACACAGAAAUCAGAGCCUCUGGCAGGAGGAAGAGGAUGGAGGGCACUGCUGGAAAGGACUCAAGCUGAGCAGAUGAAACGGGGAAUGAACCAAGGAGAAAUAAAGACCUGUUGUAGAGCAGAUGGGUGUGGGCAGAAUUUCACCCAUAUCCGUCGGAUGGGGGAAAAAUGGGUUUAUUUAUGUUGUUUGGUUGCACAGAGCUGGCUUUGGCCCUCCAGCCCCAGAGCUAUCGAGGUGGACCCAGAGACAAAAAGUCCUCUGCCUCUGGGGGAGGACGGAGCAUGUAGAGGGACAGACAGAUGACCAUGCACAGCGGCGGUUCUCAUGGUGUGUCCUCUGCAUGGGGAUGGAGGUGGUUUGGUUCUCCAGUGAUGCCACCACACCACCUUCCCAGAAACACCUUUUGUCACUGCUGUGGCCAUGUGUCCUUUCACUGUAUUUGCUUUUGUUUCUCAUCCAGCCUGCAGACCUCAGCAUGGCAAGCCAUGCAAGCACGUCUCCCAUCACCAUUCCCA